CCAGCGCGCCGCUCAUGCCGUGCUGGGGGCCUUGAGCGAGUGGAAGGGCUCCGGGGUCGAGCAGAGGGCGCGGAGUCCUGGCCUCGGAUGCAAGAGUGAACUGGGUCCCGUGGCAGGUUCGGAUAACCGCAGCGGCAGCGUGCGUCUCCCUCCCUUUCGAUCUUGCUCUGGCUCCCGCCUUCCCGAGUGGCUCAGAGUGGCGAGCGCGCCACCUGGAUCACCAUCUGUGUUGGAACAUUCCAGAGUACACAUCUCCUCCCCACCUCCAGCAUACAGUUUUCUUUCUGGGUUCACAGUUAGAGAGCAUGUUCAAGCAACACUGGGGCCAGACAAGCUUAUUUGACUGGAAUGUUUGGAGAAAGUAAAAGAAGUCAACAACAAGCCAGAACACCUUGCAAAUAUUGUUGA
rnacentral:lncRNA from 1 species